rnacentral:tRNA from 1 species
AUUAAUAAAUUUAGUUUAUAAAAACAUUAUUUUUUCAAUUUAAAAAUUUUUAUAUUAAGCUUCUAACUUAAUUAAUU